UACGUAGGGGGCUAGCGUUGUCCGGAUUUAUUGGGCGUAAAGAGCGUGUAGGCGGCCAUGUAGGUCCGGUGUGAAAACUCGAGGCUUAACCUCGAGAUGUCAUCGGAAACCAUUUGGCUAGAGUCCGGAAGAGGAGAGUGGAAUUCCCGGUGUAGCGGUGAAAUGCGCAGAUAUCGGGAAGAACACCCGUGGCGAAGGCGGUUCUCUGGGACGGUACUGACGCUGAGACGCGAAAGCGUGGGGAGCGAACAGG
rnacentral:rRNA from 1 species